rnacentral:rRNA from 1 species
AUGGCGGCGGCGAUGAGAUUCGGCGGUGGCGCUUUGCUCCGGCGAGCGCCCGUGGCGGCGGCAAGGGUGCGGCUCGCCCACACCAAGCCCUGCAGCCCGGAGGAGAUGAGGGACGCCGCGGCCCGCGUGGCGGAGAUCGACAAGGCCAAAGAGGAGCUGUUCGACAAGGUGCAUGGCAUGGUUACCACCUACGAUGUCCCGCGCAGGAUGAGUCGCGAGUACAUGCUUCUCAUGCAGCGCCUCUCCUCCCAAAUCAACCCUAGACCCCAAGACCCAAUCUGGCGUUUUUGUCGACGCCACGAAAGACGCAAUACUUACUACAAGUUUUUGGGGGCAUGUACGAAUGGCCUUUUGACUGGAGUUGGCAUCGGCUUGCUCGUGUUUGUUCCACCAAAAAAGUCUGUCGCGGACUGGUGGAACAAAGUUACUAGUUGA